CUACGGGACGCAGCAGUGGGGAAUAUUGGACAAUGGGGGAAACCCUGAUCCAGCAAUGCCGCGUGUGUGAAGAAGGCCUGCGGGUUGUAAAGCACUUUCGGUUGGGAGGACUGCUUCUAGCACUAAUAUUGUUGGAAGUUGACGUUACCUUCAGAAGAAGCACCGGCGUAACUCCGUGCCAGCAGCCACGGUAAUACGGAGGGUGCAAGCGUUAAUCGGAAUUACUGGGCGUAAAGCGCGCGUAGGCGGUUAGAUCAGUCGGGUGUGAAAGCCCCGGGCUUAACCUGGGAACUGCAUCCGAUACUGUCUAGCUUGAGUACAGGAGAGGAGAGUGGAAUUCCACAUGUAGCGGUGAAAUGCGUAGAUAUGUGGAGGAACACCAAUGGCGAAGGCAGCUCUCUGGCCUGAUACUGACGCUGAGGUGCGAAAGCGUGGGGAGCAAACAGGAUUAGAUACCCUCGUAGUC
rnacentral:rRNA from 1 species